UGAGCAAUCUGCCCUUCACAUCGGAAUAACCAUUGGAAACGAUGGCUAAUACCGAAUAUGACUUCGGAUCGCAUGAUCUGAAGUGGAAAGCUCCGGCGGUGAAGGAUGAGCUCGCGGCCUAUCAGCUUGUUGGUGAGGUAAUAGCUCACCAAGGCGAUGACGGGUAGCCGGCCUGAGGAGGGUGACCCGGCCACACGUGGGACUGAGACACGGCAGA
rnacentral:rRNA from 1 species